GACGAACCGGACAAACGUUAUUCGGAAUCACUGGGCUUAAAGGGUGCGUAGGCGACGCGGCAAGUUGGGUGUGAAAUCCCUCGGCUCAACCGAGGAAUAGCGCCCAAAACUGCCGUGCUCGAGGGAGACAGAGGUGAGUGGAACUUAGGGUGGAGCGGUGAAAUGCGUUGAUAUCCUAAGGAACUCCGGUGGCGAAAGCGACUCACUGGGUCUCUUCUGACGCUGAGGCACGAAAGCUAGGGGAGCGAACGGG
rnacentral:rRNA from 1 species